GUACUGUCAGUUACACUGUCACAGAUGAAUCACUCUGCUAAACAUAGUCAUCUUGAUUGCAUAGAGGUAGUCUAUAUUAUGUGACAUAAGCCAACUUAAGUUUGGACUUUGGAAGGCAGAGCUUUGUAAAGUUAAAUACUACACUGGCAGAAUUUAUUCCAUUAAAUAGAAGAAGAAACAAAAAUGUUUUAACACAGAUCAUUGCUUAAUGAUUCAUCUGCAUUAAAUGCUCAUUAAUCGGAAGUAAAAUGCAGUUUAUUGUGAAUGUGAUAAUUGUAGUGCAAGUUAUACAGAAGAUACCCAACCUAAGAGCAGUGACAAUCUGAUCGAAAAAGCAUUAUGGGAAAGCAGAGACAAUUUCUGUCUGUAUGCUUCUUUCUGUUCUAGCAUUCACUUAAGUGGAAUCGACUGUAACUUUAAUACACAACAAAUAUUAAAAAAAAAUCUGUAAAUAAAAAAAUAAAAAUAAAAAAAGAACAGACGUUAAACAGUGAAGUGUAUAGAUGUUUUAUCACAUGAUGGCCACCAACAAACACAACACACAAAGAGACAAGUAUUAGGAAAAUGGUUUAAUAUUGGAGACAGAAGCAAAAAACUGCAUCACACAAUAACAUACGUUACAAAAAUAAGUUUGACUGUUUUAACUACACAGUUAUGUUCACAAUGAAGACAGAAGAUUAGGAAAAAAUUUGAUCUAAACAGCAAAAAACUCAAACUCCUAUUUUUUAUGUUUUUAACUAAUACAUUUAUCCAGUUAAAGUGACUGUGUACGUCUAAAUCUAAUUACCUUAUUGUGUAACUGCACAAUACAUAAUAAAAAGUGAAACUUACCGCUUUUGUUUUGACAUAAUUCUAAAGGUAAGAUAUAACCAAAGGAAAAAAAUAAAAAAGCAAGCCAAAGUUUUUUUUUUUAAUUGUUCAAAGUAAAACCAAUAUUCUUUAUACCAGUCAGAAAUCAAACUCAAAAUCAGUCAUAACAGGGGCCUUCAAGAGUAAGCCACAACUUUUCCGUUUGUUUUUUUUUAAUCUCCAGUAUAAAAUGUUGCACUGGUACAAAAUUCAUAAGUACAAUCAGUUUGUAGAAAUAGGAAAGCCUGGUAUUUUUUUUUUUGGCUCAAAUUCCAUCACACAACAGAACCAAAAAGCAUCAAUAGAACAGAAACAAUACUUAAAUGAUCUUACAGUUUCCACUAAAAUUGCAUGAACUUUGGCUUUUCUCAGACAAUACUAAAAAAAAAAACUAUUUGUAAAUUUAAACAAAAUGAGUUAUUAUUUAAUCUACAAACAACAAUUCUCACAGCACAAAAAAUAAACACAAAUACAUUUCUUUUGUAUGAUGUAGUUCAAAAAUGUCAUGAAACUACGUUUUUUUUUCUUAUUUAGCACUUGAGAUAAUAAAAACAGAACAAUUAAAAUGACUUCAGAGUUGUACAAGCCAAAAAACUAGAAUCCCACAGUGAAAAAAAGUUGAACACACUAGUCCUUUAAGCAGUGUCCAUUUAGUGCACAACUUGUGCUCCAACCAAUCAAAAUGCAGACAAAAACUUUCAAAAUGAUUGUAUAUGUCCCACUGAAAGUAUUAAGUGAUUAAAACGAGGAGGGGUUUCAUUAUUGUGUUUUAACUGCUUUUCAUUUGUAAACAGAAAUUUUAAAUCUUGAUUUUUUUUCUAUACUCUGGUCAAAUAGAUUGCAAAUUAUACUAUAUAAAUGUUUUAUUCAAUGCAACACACAAUGUGACGUGACAUAUAUAAAGAAAUCAACCCUAUACCAUCAGAAAUCUAUAUUAACUAUAUAACUAUAUUACAUAUAUUAAACUUAUCCAUUAGAAGAUCUUACAAAUAUAGAAAGUUUAGUCAAUUUCAUGUAAAGUCUUAAGAACAAAAAUAUUUUCAACAUUUUCCAUAGCUUUUGUUCAUAUGUUUUAUAAAAUAGUCAUCAAAUAAUUAAGGACGGACGCAGGAGGCUUAACAUAAAACUAGGGACAAAUAGGAUAUAAUAUGUAUAUAAAUAUAUAUUAAACAAAUUACAUAUUGAUAUUACAGAUAUUCAGAAUUCCUCCAGUUUAAGAUUAAAUGCCACGCAUGAUUUUCACUGCAAAAGGUGCAAAUCCAAAUAUGGAAGGAUUUCACAUUGACCAAAUGAACUAGAUCAUCUAUGGGAAGUUUAAGUCAACUUGUUCAUCCUGUAGCAUACAUUGUAUAUAUUUUGCUGCUGUUGGGAAACAAUGUAGACAAAUGAACAUGUGUUGAUAUUUAUGUAUUUAUGAUCACUGUGUAGCCCAUACUUCUAGGUUAGCAGAACAUAAAGGAAAUAGCCUUAAGAUACUGCGUGUGUGUGCUUUCUCUAACAUGUGUAUAAUGUAUGUGCUUUAGGUACCCUGAUUCAAAAGGACAACAUGCUUAAAAGAACAGCUGUUCAACACUCCCUCACUGUGAGAUAUCCACAGACCAUGAAGUAAGUACAAUUGUGAGGUUUGCCUUCACAGCACUGAUGUGCAGAGUGGUUAAAAAAGUGGAACAUGGGUACUUACUGUAUACAAUGUUUUACCAAAAACAUCAAAGAGAAAAAACAAACGAGAACAAUUUCAGGCAACAAGACCACAGGAUAGCAAGUUAACAAACUUUUGUAACCUCUCUUUUUUAAAUAGAAGGGAUUUAUACAAAACACAUAAUAAAAUACCCAUGUUAUCAAAUUACUUCAUACACGAAAUACACUGAAGCUUUAGGCAAGAAGUACCUUUGGAAUUUGGCACUGUAUUUUCACUGAAUUUUUUUUCUUUAGAAGAAAAAAAACAGGUCACAUUUUGCUGAACACAAACACAUCUAAGUUUCCCCACAAUAAAAAAUUAUAACAUCAAAUGCUUUACAAGCCAACACAAAACUUUUUUUUUGUUUUUCAUGGAAUUGUUUUUCACAUGAAAUUGUAGCAAACAGACGUUUUUGUUUUUUCUGAAAACUAUUUUUAGUUCAAGUAAACCAAUUUUUUUUUUCAAAUUUCUUAAACAUAGAACAUUGAAGACUUUUAAGACUUAAUGAAGCCACAACUAAAUUCACAGAAGCACCAACGUGACACAGUAUACAUUUACCUUCUUUUCUGUACAUUUAAACAGUAUAAAAUAUAGGUAAUUUCAUGUGCAUUAAACCAUGGAUUGUCUAACUGUGAGUCAGUUCAGCAAAAGGUGACAGAACUAGGUAGCAUUUGCCCCAAAACAGGGUAAAUAUUUUUUUAUACUAAUCUACAAAAAAGUGGUUUCUAUAUAUAUAAUUUAAUGAGAAAGUGAGCCACCUAAAAUGGCCUUAUCAAAAAACUUUACACUGCCUGAAAAAUGUAAAAACUAUUACAGAGCUCUAGAUACUUAAAAUCAGACAGUUUUCUCAAACUGUUUUGGAAGUCUGCUUCAUUUAGAAACUAACAUUCUGAGUUUCUGGACACAUAUUGCUUUAGGUAACAGUGACCAGACAGAAUGCUAAUCCCUGUAUAAUACUUUCAAGUCUGUUUACGUUAUGAAACAAAAAUUCAAAAGAAAAAAAUAAACUUUUUUUGCCACAGGUUUUUUUUUAUCUUUUUUUUUUUUUUUUGCUCUAUAAUCUGCUCGAUAUUAAAUUUCAGUCUUGCAUGAAUUUCACAUUGACUAUGUUUUUUUUUCUCCAGAAUUCAUAGCUAGAUGAGAUCACAUGCAAAUUUCAGAGGUCAAACUAAAUCAGUUGGAGGACCGAAUAUGAUGUGAGGUCAGAAAGACAUCAGAAACAAUGACGGGACGAUGAAACUUUUUUUUUUUAUAGACGCCACAGGGACAUGCUAGGCAAACGGUGAACUAACAGGCAUGGAGAUGUUCUAGGGAAAAAAAAGGAAGAGUAUAAAGUUACACAGAAUCUAUGCAGCAGAAACAAAUUCACUUUUAAGCUUUUUCGGUGCUGGAACUGAUCGGUAACGUAUUGUUGAGAAAUGCAUUUCUGAUCUUCCCAGCACUGAUUAAGUUUAUGAAUGUAAUGCAAAUCUUGAAGAUGUUUGAGUCUAUGUGCCAUUCAAUAAU
rnacentral:lncRNA from 1 species